UACAGAGGGGUGCAAGCGUUAAUCGGAAUUACUGGGCGUAAAGGCGAAGCGUAGUCGGUUAUUUAAGUCGGGUGGAUGAAAGGCCCCGGGCUACAACCCGUGGGAACUUGCAUUCGAUACUUGGAAUAGCUAGGAGUUCGGCAGAGGGAAGCGGAAUUUCCGGUGUAGCGGUGAAAUGCGUAGAUAUCGGGAGGAACACCAGUGGCGAAGGCGGGUUGCUGGGCCGACACUGACGCUGAUGCGCGAAAGCCA
rnacentral:rRNA from 1 species